rnacentral:rRNA from 1 species
CCACACUGGGACUGAAACACGGCCCAAACUCCUACGGGAGGCAGCAGUAGGGAAUCUUCCGCAAUGGACGAAAGUCUGACGGAGCAACGCCGCGUGAGUGAUGAAGGCUUUCGGGUCGUAAAACUCUGUUGUGAGGGAAGAACAAGUGCUAGUUGAAUCAGCUGGCACCUUGACGGUACCUAACCAUAAAGCCACGGCCAACUACGUGCCAGCAGCCGCGGUAAUACGUAGGUGGCAAGCGUUAUCCGGAAUUACGGGGCGUAAAGCGCGCGCAGGUGGUUUCUUUAUUCUGAUGUGAAAGCCCACGGCUCUACCGUGGAGGGUCAUUGGAAACUGGGAGACUUGAGUGCAAAACAGGAAAGUGGAAUUCCAUGUGUAGCGGUGAAAUGCGUAGAGAUAUGGAGGAACACCAGUGGCGAUGCGACUUUCUGGUCUGUAACUGACACUGAGGCGCGAAAGCGUGGGGAGCAAACAGGAUUAGAUACCCUGGUAGUCCACGCCGUAAACGAUGAGUGCUAAGUGUUAGAGGGUUUCCGCCCUUUAGUGCUGAA